AAUGAACUGUAAAUUAUUUUUAAGUUUGUAUUGCAGAGAAGAUUAGCAUGGCCCCUGCGCAAGGAUGACACGCACAAUCGUGAAGCGUUCCACAUUUUU